ensembl:snRNA U6 U6 spliceosomal RNA
GUGCUUGCUUAGGCAGCACAUAUACUAAAAUUGGAUCUAUACAGAGAAGAUUAGCAUGGCCCAUCCACAAGGAUGACACACAAAUUCGUGAAGCAUUCCAUACAUUU